AGUCGAGUGCGCGGUUGUAGCAAUACAACUGGCGCACGGCGCACGGGUGCGUAACACGUGGGUAACCUGCCCUUUGAUGGGGAAUAACCCCGCGAAAGCGGGGCUAAUACCGCAUAAGAUCCGCAAGGAUGAAAGCCGUAAGGCGUCGAAGGAGGGGCCCGCGCACGAUUAGCUAGUUGGUAGGGUAACGGCCUACCAAGGCUUUGAUCGUUAGCUGGUCUGAGAGGAUGGCCAGCCACACUGGAACUGAGACACGGUCCAGACUCCUACGGGAGGCAGCAGUGGGGAAUCUUGCACAAUGGGCGAAAGCCUGAUGCAGCGACGCCGCGUGGGGGAUGAAGCUUCUCGGAGUGUAAACCCCUUUCGACCCGGACGAAUGCCCCGCAAGGGGAGUGACGGUACGGGUAUAAGAAGCCCCGGCUAACUACGUGCCAGCAGCCGCGGUAAGACGUAGGGGGCCAGCGUUGUUCGGAAUUACUGGGUGUAAAGGGUUCGUAGGCGGUGUGGCAAGUCGGGAGUGAAAUCUCUGGGCUCAACUCAGAGUCUGCUUCCGAAACUGCUGUGCUGGAGUGUGGGAGAGGCGCGUGGAAUUGCAGGUGUAGCGGUGAAAUGCGUAGAUAUCUGCAGGAACACCCGUGGCGAAAGCGGCGCGCUGGACCACUACUGACGCUGAGGAACGAAAGCUAGGGGAGCAAACAGGAUUAGAUACCCUGGUAGUCCUAGCCCUAAACGAUCA
rnacentral:rRNA from 1 species